rnacentral:rRNA from 1 species
ACCGUGCAAAGGUAGCAUAAUCAUUUGUUCUCUAAAUAGGGACUUGUAUGAAUGGCCACACGAGGGUUUAACUGUCUCUUACUUCCAAUCAGUGAAAUUGACCUUCCCGUGAAGAGGCGGGAAUACACUAAUAAGACGAGAAGACCCUAUGGAGCUUUAAUUAACUAACCCAUAAUAACUUACUAAAUCACCGAUCAGGCCUAACACAAUCCUAUUAAUGGGUUAGCAAUUUAGGUUGGGGCGACCUCGGAGAACAAAACAACCUCCGAGUGAUUUAAUCACAGACAAACCAGUCGAAGCAUUCUAUCAUUCAUUGAUCCAAUAACUUGAUCAACGGAACAAGUUACCCUAGGGAUAACAGCGCAAUCCUAUUUGAGAGUCCAUAUCAACAAUAGGGUUUACGACCUCGAUGUUGGAUCAGGACAUCCUAAUGGUGCAGCAGCUAUUAAGGGUUCGUUUGUUCAACGAUUAAAGUCCUACGUGAUCUGAGUUCAGACCGG